AAAGUGCACGCGCUUUGGGACA
rnacentral:miRNA from 1 species